UCCAAGUCUUAUUAUGCACAAAGCUCAUAUGAUUCGAUCCGUGGUAGAAUGAACUUUAUUCUAAAGCAAAAUAAGGAUCCUAUAAAAUGACUGUUUCUUAAUCCAUAUAAAUAAGACCAAAUUUCCACUGGUUAUGGGAAAUUGGCUGUCAGUAUUUUCACCAAACUUGGAGAACACGUCUGGAAUAGUCUGACUUACAACAUAGGCUAUGUAGUGUACAAGAAGUCACUUAGUGGGAUCCGGUGGUUUAAAUACGAACCUCAAAAUGCAAGGCAUGAGGACAAGCCUCAGUUUGGCAUAGAGCCAUUUCUCACAUGGACAACUUCAUAAAUGUACUCUAAAUAUUUAUUAUGUAAUGACAGUUAAAAUUCUCCUGAGCGAUAGAAGAGAUGAAGAGUCAGCCAGAAAUCAAAUAUGUGGAUGUUUGUGGUAAAUGUUAUAUCGUGAAGCGGCCUCCAUCUGCCAACUCUCAAGCUUCUGGACUCUUUUGGGUACAACUUGCGUAGAAUCAUGGCCCCCCAAAGCCCUGCCUUCUGGAUCGGCUUCCCGGACAGAGGGCUGUGUGCCAGGCAAGGGGCGGUUUCAGCACUAAAGGAAGUCUGGGCUCUCCACGGUCACUGUCAUCUCCUAGAACUGAAAUUUCAUUACGCAAGAGCAAAUAAUGCAGUCGUUCAUGGACAGCCUGGCACAGAACAGGCACCCGUCUCCGCUCCUGGCAUAGCCGGCGCCGGCCCAGUUGUGCAAGUCUCUGAAGCUUGAAGCAGAGCGAUUCUUCUUGUGUUUCUGUGAGCACCAGGGAAAACCCUCCUGGCAGAGCCAUCCCUCAUUCUUGGGAGAGAGAACAAUGCCCCUUUCCUUCCCACGGCCAAGUCCCACGUCCUCUCCUGUGAGAGAGGGGACUCAGUCACCUAGGACGAGGCCUGUAGCCCUCCCCUGACACAGAGGCAAAAUUGGCAAAAUGCUUCCACAAAUGCAGUUUCCACUAAGUGGGUUCCUCCCUCCCUCCUUUCUCUGUCGCCUCCGUUUUCCUGGACUCGAUUCUCUACUUCUGGGGGGGCUCCCCCUUCUUCCCAGAUACCUUCCCUUUCCUGUCCCAGCUGAACCGGCGUGAGCUGACGCUCUCUGCCUCCAAACUGGGCCUCUGCUCGUUCAACCAAGACUCUGGCCCUCAGGGAAACUGAGCUCAUCCCCUCGCACUAUGGAAACAAUAUUCACAUCAAAAUGGAAAGCCCAAUAAUAUUAACAUUUCUUUUCUUUUUUUUUUAAGGAUUUUGUUUAUUUAUUCAUGAGAGACACACAGAGAGAGGCAGAGACACAGGCCGAGGGAGAGGCAGGCUUCCUGCAAGGAGCCCGAUGUGGAACUCGAUCCCGGGACCCCAGGAUCACACUCUGAGCCAAAGGCAGAUGCCCAACCAUCGAGCCACCCAGGUGCCCUAAUAUUUACAUUUCACAGUGUACGUGCUUUUUAUCAAAGAGGCUUAUUAAUCCAAGUGAACGCUGUCUAUAGCACAGUUUCCAUAGAGAAUUGUCGGCCAGCCCUUUGGAGAGGAAGAUGAUGGGGAUCGUCAGUGGUCUCCACUGGAUCAGGUCUGUCCCCGCCCUCUGGGUAUCAUGCCUCAGUGGGCCAGAGACCAGACAGGUUUGGGAGCUGAUUACUUGAACAGUACUCGUUUAUCUGAAAACUUCCCCAACAAUCCGCUUAAGAUCAGAAACAAAUGCUUUUUAGGAAAAACAGUGGAGAAAAAAAAAUCUACCCAGAAGUCCACACCUAUUCAGGUUGUUUAAUUUCCUCUUUAAAUUUUUGUUCUUUGCCAGCACAGCUUUGAAGCUGUGUCAUUUCAUGUCUAAAAGGUCCUUGGUUGGGGUAGUGGAAAGGGACGUGGGGGGGGGUUGGGGUGACUGGGUGACGGGCACUGAGGGGGGCACUUGGCAGGAUGAGCACUGGGUGUUAUGCUAUAUGUUGGCAAACUGAACUCCAAUAAAAACAAUUAAAUUAAAUUAAAAAUAAAUAAA
rnacentral:lncRNA from 12 species